GACGAACCGUGCGACCGUUAUUCGGAAUCACUGGGCUUAAAGCGCGUGUAGGCGGGAGGGCACGUCCGUUGCUGAAAUCCCCCGGCUCAACCGGGGAACGGGCGCGGAUACGACUCUCCUUGAGGGGCGUAGGGGGACCUGGAACUUCCGGUGGAGCGGUGAAAUGCGUUGAGAUCGGAAGGAACGCCCGUGGCGAAAGCGAGGUCCUGGACGCCUACUGACGCUGAGACGCGAAAGCCAGGGGAGCGAACGGG
rnacentral:rRNA from 1 species